GAGCUUGGCGGUGUUUUAGACCUCUCAGGGGAACCUGUCUCAUAAUCGACAAUCCGCGUUAAACCUAACCUUUGAUAGCAAUUCAGCCUGUAUACCGUCGUCGUCAGGUAACUUCUUAAAAUAUAGUAGUUAGCUUGAGAAUUUUAUUAAUUAAAACGUCAGAUCAAGGUGCAGCUAAUGAAAGGGUGAGGAUGGGUUACAAUUACACAUUUGUAAAUACGGAAAACAUUUGAAAUAAUGUCUUAAAGGAGGACUUGAAAGUAAUUUUGAUUAUAUAAAUAGAAUGAAUAGGGCUCUGAAACGUGCACACACCGCCCGUCGCUCUCGUUGAAAAAUGAGAUAAGUCGUAACAUAGUAGGGGUAAUGGAAAUUGUUCCUAGGC
rnacentral:rRNA from 1 species